ACGGAAGGCAGCAGUGGGGAAUAUUGGGCAAUGGGCGAAAGCCUGAUCCAGCGACGCCGCGUGAGUGAAGAAGUAUUUCGGUAUGUAAAGCUCUUUAAGCAGGAAAGAAAAUGACGGUACCUGCAGAAUAAGCCCCGGCUAACUACGUGCCAGCAGCCGCGGUAAUACGUAGGGGGCAAGCGUUAUCCGGAUUUACUGGGUGUAAAGGGAGCGUAGACGGCAAUGCAAGUCUGAAGUGAAAGCCCGGGGCUUAACUACGGGACUGCUUUGGAAACUGCAGGGCUAGAGUGUCGGAGAGGUGAGUGGAAUUCCCAGUGUAGCGGUGAAAUGCGUAGAUAUUGGGAGGAACACCGGAGGCGAAGGCGGCUCACUGGACGAUUACUGACGUUGAGGCUCGAAAGCGUGGGGAGCAAACAGGAUUAGAUACCCUGGUA
rnacentral:rRNA from 1 species